UGAGGAACAUGACCUUCGGCGGGGGAUAGCCGGCCCAACGGCCGGGUAAUACCGCGUACGACCACAUGGGGACAUCCCUGAGUGGUGAAAGCAGCAAUGCGCCGAUGGAGUGCCUCGCGGCCUAUCAGCUAGUUGGUGAGGUAACGGCUCACCAAGGCGACGACGGGUAGCUGGUCUGGAGAGGAUGGCCAGCCANAGUUGGGACUGAGACACGGCCCAGACCUCGUAACGGGGAG
rnacentral:rRNA from 1 species